AGAUGAGCCCGCGUACCAUUAGCUAGUUGGUGGGGUAAAGGCCUACCAAGGCGACGAUGGUUAGCUGGUCUGAGAGGAUGAUCAGCCACACUGGAACUGGAACACGGUCCAGACUCCUACGGGAGGCAGCAGUGAGGAAUUUUGCGCAAUGGGGGAAACCCUGACGCAGCAACGCCGCGUGAGUGAUGAAGGCUUUCGGGUCGUAAAGCUCUGUCAAGUGGGAAGAAGUUAUGCAUGGUGAAUAAUUAUGCAUAUUGACGGUACCACUGGAGGAAGCACCGGCUAACUCCGUGCCAGCAGCCGCGGUAAUACGGAGGGUGCAAGCGUUAUUCGGAUUUACUGGGCGUAAAGGGCGCGUAGGCGGCUAGAUAAGUCAGUCGUGAAAGCCCGGGGCUCAACCCCGGAAGUGCGAUUGAAACUAUUUGGCUUGAGUAUGGUAGAGGGAAGUGGAAUUCCUGGUGUAGCGGUGAAAUGCGUAGAUAUCAGGAGGAACACCGGUGGCGAAGGCGACUUCCUGGACCAAUACUGACGCUGAGGCGCGAAGGUGUGGGUAGCAAACAGGAUUAGAUACCCUGGUAGUCCACACAGUAAACGAUAUCACUAGGUGUUGCGGGUAUUGACCCCUGCAGUGCCGGAGCUUACGCAUUAA
rnacentral:rRNA from 1 species